GCUGCGCACCUGAGCAGCGGCACCCCGCGGGAGCAGAGGUGCUCUGGAGUAACACGGAUCUGCAGUUUCUGGCCGCAGCUCUGGCUUGCCUCCGGGUGUUGCAGGAGUGGCCCUUGUCCUUGGCGUGGGAAGUUCAGCCCCGGGGCCGGCUCAAGGCUCAGCACGUGUGGGUUCCCUUGCAGGGCUGGUGGUGGCAACAGAGCAGGGUCCGGCCCUGGCAUGCUCAGCUACUUGUGGUGACUUUAUUCUGGCACGGCUCAAUCAGUUUUAGAUGAAGGUGUGACCACAUCAAAUUGUAUUUUUAUGAUUUUACGUUACAACUUUCCGUGAGGGUGGCAGAACACUGAAAGAGACUGCCCAGGGAGGGCAUGGUGACAUCUCCAAACUCCUCUCUGGAGGCAUUCCAAACCCAUCUGGAUGUGUUCCUGUGUCACCUGCAUUGGGUGACCCUGCCUUGGCAGGGGGUUGGACUGGAUGUUUUCCAGAGUUCCUUUACAACCUUAAGGAUUCUGUGAUUUAUUUCAGGAAGGUAAACUCAACCUGAUGGUCAAGGUUUGGGAUAAUCCUUGUUUAGUGAUGUGCCUGUGCCACCUUGUUGACACUCCUCUCUAUCUGUAUUGCUCUGCACAGUUUUGUGACUGAAGUGCUUAACUGGCAGGAAAAAAUUGUUCCCAUUCAAUCUGUACACAGGAAUGAUGCUGAAUAGCAGCAGUGGGGCAAAUUGAAUCCAUCACAGAAUUUCUGGGGAAAUUAGUCUCUCUUCAGAAGCAAUAACUUAAAUAACAUUAGGAUUAUGAAGAAAUAGGGCAUCUUCAAACAUCCCCAGCAGUGAGAGACCUCACCAAACAGUUCCUUGCUGCUGUGGCUUCUCUUGUCAAAUUUGACCAGUUCUGUUCACAGCAAAACUUAGGUGUUAAAUAGUGUGAAUUCCAGAAGUUUUUUGCAACGGUGGUUAGACCUUGCUGCAGUGAAUAUGCAAUAAUGGGCUAUUGAGGGGGGGUUUUUUCCCCUAUGAUAGCUUCAUGAAGAGGGACUUAGUAAAUAGCUGUAUUGUGAGUUUUUUUAAUAGGAAGUUGCUGGCUGUGAUUUUUUUUUCACUGUAUUUUUCCCAGGUUGUACUUUGUGUAUCUUAUGUGCAACCUCAGUUCACACAGGUUAUGUUAGGAAAUUAUUUUGCAUACUAAUACUGGAGAUUUAGUACUUCCUUAGUUGAAAGGAAGUUUAGAUAAAACAUGAGUUCAUUUGCUUUCACUUUCACUUGCAUUCCUACUGCAAUGAGCUGUAUCCUUACUUCACCUUCCCUUUGAUAAAUGUUUUCUGUAUUUUCCUCUGUUUUUAGUAGUGGAAAACAUGAAUUCAUUUGCAAAUUGUGAAAAGUUUACAGGACUUAGAACAAUAGGUGUUUGAUUAGAUUGACAAUUAAUAACAUAGUACAGCAGUCUUGAAAUAUUUUUGUAAACUAACUUUCUUGCUGAAUUUGUGUAAUUAUUAUGUGUAAACUUUUUGCAGAAAAAGCCUGCUUGCUUCUAGCAUGUCCUAAGAUAAAUAAAUCUAGUGAAUAAAUACACAGUUUUAAACAUUUAUGUUUGAGGCAGGACCACAUAACCAAAUGAUGAUUCAGUUUGAGAAGGGCACUGAGGCCUUUGUAAUAUUUGAAGCUGAAAUGUACCUUUUUUAUUUAUAAAUAUCUACUUUUAUUCUGUGUACUGAGAGAGGAGUACUCAAAGAGGAGUAGAAAAUCUGACUGUUUUGGUGUAGUCAUUCUCAGGCCUCACUGAGGUUUCCAGCAGCACUGUGCAGUGCUGUGGCACACGCACCACUUGGAUGCAGAGUUUAGUACUAUUGCUGUAAAAUAGAGUGUGUGUAGGGAGAAAUGCUGGGAUUUGUGUUCCUUUGGUUCUGUUCUUAGCAAAAAUCAUUCUUUGUGCUCACAGACUUUACUUUUCCAAAGGAUAUGGGCUUUACUCUGUGCUUGAGUGGGCAGCAGUGACUUCCCAUUUCUCUCAGGCCAUGGUUUCUGGAUAUUCAUAUUCCAUCUAUAACUACAUGGUUAGAAAAAUAAAUUGAAACCAAACACACUAAUUGAAAAUGCAGCACAACAGUAAUAUGUUGUGAUAAUUACUUGAAGCCAGAAUAGUCUGUGUUAAUUAAAUGCAAGCGGGGUAGAGAUUUUGGAAAGAAACCCUGCAUUUCCAAUUGAGGCAAUAGAUAAAGGCAUUUUUGGUAGCAGUCAGUGCUGUUAAUGUUGUGUAAAAAAUCCCCAAAAAUACCACUGUGGACUUGUAUCCCUCUCCAGGUAUGUGGACUGUGGUGCUGCCCAGGAGGACAUCUGUGCAUUUGUAUCUGCUGGAACUACUUGUUCUCCUUUUCUCCUUGGUAGAAUUUCCCAGUUCAGAGCAGUUUCUAGUGUGAUUUACCUUUGCCCCAGUGUGUUGGUGCUCAGUGGGCUGGCAGGUCCAAAAAGAGGUAUUAAAUCUUUAAAUUUUUGGUCUAAGCAGGGGAAAAAGAGGUGCCUGGGCUUGGGCUGGAGGUGUUACCUUCAGAUGAGCACAUUAUUAAGACAAAGGAUGGUACAGUCCAAGGAAACACUUUUAGUUUAUGCUGAAACCUGGUGUCAGUCACCCUCUGAUUUUCCUGAACCUGUUUUGGGAAGAGAGGCUGAGAUGUGCCUGCAACAUGUGACGACAGGCAGUGCAGGGUUGAGUGAGUGGAGUGAGGGGAAGCAGUAUCAGGAAUAAUUAAGUUGAUAUCAAUUGUGCUCCCUUUCUUCCUGUUGUGCACUCCAGUCACACAAAAACCCCACGGAAUGAGCACAUUUGAGGCAGGAGCCUGCAUCAGUCACUUGGGAUGCUCGGCACGGCUGGAGAAGGCGGCAGAUGUUCAAUCAGCGGAAGCUCCUGGGUUUCAGGAAGUGUGGCUUCAGUGCAGGCAGUGCUGCUGGAAUCCAGGGGUAAAAGGAAUUGGUGUUGGAGCUGUUCUGUAAAUCCCGGAGCUCCAUCGUGUGGCGGGAGCUGUGCAGGCCAGAGCUGCAGCCUUGGGAUCAGGCUUGGGAGCUGGGGCUGCUGAGAUUGUGCAGCUCCACAGUUGGAAUCACUUUGUCCCCUUCCACAUGUGCUGACAGGAAAAGCAGCCCUUGGGAACCUGACUUUUUUAACAGGGAAAGCAGAUGACCCAAGGAUUGUUUAAAGCUUGUCUUUCACGAUGUGUUGUGCUAAAAGAGUGAAUGCGCCAAGUGCACGACCCUGAGCUUCUGUGCUGCACUGGCUGUGACUUGAGCAUCUCUGGAUUCACUGGGGAAGAGAACACUAUUCUCUUCAAUAGAGACUAUGCCAGCAGGAUAAUUUGUCAGCCUUCCCUAGUGCUGCGAGUGCCAGAACCCCCUGAUAUAUGGUGUGAGAGAAGCAGCACUCAGCAGGCCCUCAAGGGAACCUGGCAGAUCUUCACCAAUAACAUGGUAACAUAGGUGACGCAGCUUGGAAAGACUGUUAAAUAGCAUCUACAAAUUAAAAAUGCCCCAAAAUACAGGAUUAAUGUAAAGCAGAAUACUAUAAAUAGAAAUUGUUUCGUACAUGCCAGGUUGGUUAGGUUUGGAACUAAGCUAUGUCUAAAGGUGGAAAAGUAAAGCAGAUCAAUUUCUAGGUUUAUUGUAAUCAUUGUGUCUUUCAGGUUUAAUUUUAAAAAGAAAUGCAGAAGCAUUGCCUUACAUUUUUACACAAAAUUUUAACAGGUGUAUAACACCUGUCUAGGUUUUCAGAGUGCUUCAACAUUUCCAGUCCAUCACAGAACAAUCAGCUUCAGACACUGAAUGUGGGACUUCCUUAACUUCCCGGGAUCACUGUCCAGCUGAAGAUGCAGAGUUGGAGCUGUGCAGCUCAGCUCCCUGGCCAGGCUGCCUCUACCCCUGAGGAAUGGGAAUUCGAAUUCACAGGGAUCCUACUCAGCUGCUGAAGGCUGGGAUGCAGGAACAGGGAACUGAAAGUAAUGUCAGCUCUGCCGGUGCUGAUUUAAAGGGAUGUGAUGGGAGCCGGUGCUCUGUAAAGGUUUGACUCUGCCCCAGAGUUGCUGUUCUGAUUUAUUCCUGUUUUGGGCGUCAGGACCAAGUACUUGUGUCCAUGCUGAAGUUUAUUUUCUGGUAGAUGUGUAAAUUAGCAAAAGCAAAUAGCGGUAAUUAUACCAGUUACAAGUGAGAUUUUAAGGUUGAGUCACCCAAAUUUGUCAUCACUGUUUGUAUAAAGGAUUCUGUAGUAAGGCACUGAGGGGGCUGGAAAGUAAUUUGAUUUUGUGUCUGUCCAAGGAAUAACGUCAUCCCUUUGUGUGAGUGCACGGGAUCACGCGCUGUGUGCUUGGCAAGGACAUCAACGGGCAUGAGGGUGCUCUUGUUCUGUGCUGGCUUUGUUUGCAGAGGGGGCUGAAAACAGCAGGCUGCAACUGGGAUCAAGUACUAGUUAAAUGUAUUUUGUUUUUUAAAAACUGUUUUUCUCUAAACAUUUUCAGCUAUUGGAUAAACAACCUGGACAAACAAUCAUUUUUCUUACCAGCCCUGUUCUCAAACUGUCCUUGCUACGGAGGGGAUUCUGAGUGGUGCAUCUGUUUGGCAAGUGUUCUCAUUUCAGUAUUCCAAGGUGAGAAGUGACACCUGUGGAACAUGGCUGGUAAUUCAACAGAAGUUUAAUGACUGUAGUUGCUAUGAUUGCUACAACUUGCUUACUUAAGACCCAAGCAAUUGGUAAAAUUUUGAAAUCAAGAAACCUUAUUUUUAAAGUAACUUCCUUCUGUGACUAGGGGGAGAAAGGGGAAGGCUUUUUCUCUGGUGAGUAUUAUAAAUGCUGUCUGCAGCUAGCCUGACUUGUCUUGACUGAAGCAGCAAUCCUGCCCCAGCUCUGAAGAUGCCUGCACUGUGGGAUGAGGUAGUAGGUUGUAUAGUUUUAGGGUCAUACCCACCACUGGGAGAUAACUAUACAAUCUACUGUCUUUCCUAAAGCAGCAGAUAAUCAACAAUGGAAGCUUCUCAGUUUUAAGAUCGGUGUCAGAUUUUGCUGAAUUUCUGUACUUGUAGUGCUUAUGACAGAACAAAAUACUUGUAAUAACUGUGAGAAUUGUGUUCAGAUUUUUCUAGUUCUUGGAAAAGCUAGGUUUCAUUCUGCAUUAAUUUUUCUGCUCUAAUCAAUAAAAAAUCAAGAAUAGAUUAUUCCUGCAUGUGUAUGGUGGGGUAAUUAAAUACAAAUUCCUGGUGUCCCAGUUGUUGGGGAGUUGUAUCAAACAUCCUUCAGAAUGAAACUGAGGUUGGCUGCUGAGCUCUUGCUGAAGUCUCUGCUUCUCUGUCAGAGUGAGGUAGUAGAUUGUAUAGUUGUGGGGUAGUUAUUUUACCCUGUUCAGGAGAUAACUAUACAAUCUAUUGCCUUCCCUGAGGAGUAAAACAAACUCCACUGCCUUGCAGCCAGUCCUGGGUUAAAAAUACUCAUUGAGAGAAACCAGAUGAAUUCAGGGUUGUAAAGCAGCAGUGCCAGAAUGUACAGGACUGACAGUCAGUGUGAAUGGUGCAACCCCCACAGGAUACCUGUGACUUAACAUGGCUUGUCUCCCAAGGUGAGUGUCACUGGCUGGGGAUGGAAAAUGCCCGUGCUUUAGGCAGAAGGUGGAACACUCCACAGAGGGAUAUUAAUCCAAGUCAGUUAGGAGAAUGUAAAAUACAGGGAGCUCAAGCUUGUACACUGUGGCUUAAACUCUUCUGACAUCCCAGUUUCCAUAAUGCAUUAAAACUUAAAACUCCCAACUGCUUGGUAGAAGUUGGAGGGAAAACUUAAAAUUAUCCUUUAUUAAUAAGUCUGCAUAUCUUUCUGCAGCUUUUCCAGAUCUAAUGCAAAAUUUACCGGCUGGCCAAUUUUGGCCAAAACACACCUCACCUUUCUGGGGGAGGUGUGAAGCUAUGGAGUUUGAGCAUCCAAGAGCCAGAACUUACCUCUAAAGUGAUAUUGCUUCUGUAAAAAGACUUCUAAAGUUGAUUGCAUUCUUUUUCCUCCUGCUGUGCUUGGUGUACCCAGUCUGUAACUGGCUCUGUGCUAUCAUGCCCAGCAAGCAGUUUGCUGUAGUAACAAAAAAUCCCACAGAAAUAAAUGCUCUUAGGGAUGGGAAGUUUAGCUUAGGCAGAGUGAGAAAGGAGCCUUUUAUGGGUGUUACAGGCAGUGAGCCACUGUUGGUCAGUGCUGACAGUGUCACCUCGGAAUAUAUGCCCAGCCAGGGCAGAAGAGCAGAGCAGCUGGGCAGCUAAAGUCCUGCAGAGAGUGAAGAACUGCACAGAGGAAGCGUGGGGCUCCUAGGAAGAGGUAGUAGGUUGCAUAGUUUUAGGGCAGGGAUUUUGCUCACAAGGAGGUAACUAUACAACCUGCUGCCUUUCUUAGGGCUUUAUUAUAACACCAGGACCAUUUGGGCUCCAGCCUGCAAACCUCUGCAGCUUUGGGACAUGGAGAGAAAGGACAAUGUAUUUCUAAGUGUGCUGAGGAUUAAUGAAAGCUGUGUCUUGGCAGAUUUGGUCCCAAAUGGAGGUGUAGGAAUGCUGGCUGAAAUGCAGCAUGGUGACAUUGGGGCUGCAUGUGCCACCUGGGGGACACGGGGCUGUGGUAAGUAAGAGGCUGUGUGGGGAAGGCAGCUCCUGCGGGGUAAGCUGGAGGCUCUUGAGGUUAGGGUGAAAGUGGUGUGAACUGCUGAACAUGAAAGUUCUGGUACUAUGUGCACACAGGGAGCUGAAAUACACCUUUCCUUUGGCUUAGUGCAUUUCAAGUGGAAAAACUCCAGUUUUCCUUCCUCAAAAGCAUCAGAUUCCAGCUGCCCUGAAAGCUGGUGCUUUCUCACCAGGCAUAGGCCCUCCGAGUGAACCAAGUUCACAGUGGUGCAUUAUUUAUAGUCCUACAGGAGGGGAGUUUCCAGUUAAAAACAGUGGCACGGUUUCUCAUGGAAUUGUUAAAAAUGAGUCCAUGUUUUUUGAUGUAAUUGCGGUGCACCACAGCAAUAGUUCUGGUAGGGUUCUGUCUGGACACUACUCUGUGGGGUAUGGAGAUUUCAGUUCUGAGCACCUUGCAGCAUUAACCUGCUGUGCUCACACCAGCUGCCAUUUAAAUGGCAAAGCAACACAGUCCUAGCUUAUGUUAAGUAUUGCUUAUAUUGAACAUUUUGUGAAUUUAACUGUACUUUUUUUAUUUAGUUAAUAAAAUACAGCAUUUUGUGCAA